UUGGCCAAGUAAAUAUAUCACUAAAUUAAGCUGACCUGUUUCUUUUUCCUCUUUUAAUAUGUCUACUAGGAAGCUGAGUACGUGGCUUGGCUUUCAUCUCGGUUGGACGGCACCACCAAGACCUCUCUCAUUUUCCAGGCCUCUCUUCCCGUGAUUUGUUCAAGGAGAGCAUCCCCACUGGGCACUAACCAGCCCCUCUGACACCCUCGUCCCGUGGGCCCCGUGACCGAGAGCGUCAAGCGAGAAUUCAGGCCAUUGUUGGUGUGGUGUGUGUAUGUUCUUUGGACUAACAUGCACAUUUAUGUUAUUUACGGCAAGCGAUACUGUCUUUGCGUUGAAUAUAUUGUUUUUCUUUUUAAUUAAAGUUUUUUUCAAAGUGA